UUUGAAUCGGGAUAUCCAGAUUUUUUACAAUAAUAUUUAUGAUUUGUUUCAUUUUUUAUAGAUAUCACAUUUUACUAUUUUCUUUGAUUCAAUUUUUUACGGAUAUUCAAAAUUUUUGGAUCAAAUCGAAAUGAAUAAUGAUCGUAUUAAAUUUAACAAAUAAUUUGUCCAGCCCGAGAACAAUAUUAUACACUUUGACAUGAGUUAUAUAUAUGUAAGUACGUGAAACUAUGAACAGGGGCGUCCUCGAGGACAGCAUGGUGAAACAUGGACCUAGGGCCCCCACUUUC
rnacentral:lncRNA from 1 species